UACGUAGGGUGCAAGCGUUAAUCGGAAUUACUGGGCGUAAAGCGUGCGCAGGCGGUGAUGUAAGACAGAUGUGAAAUCCCCGGGCUCAACCUGGGAACUGCAUUGUGACUGCAUCGCUGGAGUGCGGUAGAGGGGGAUGGAAUUCCGCGUGUAGCAGUGAAAUGCGUAGAUAUGCGGAGGAACACCGAUGGCGAAGGCAAUCCCCUGGGCCUGCACUGACGCUCAUGCACGAAAGCGUGGGGAGCAAACAGG
rnacentral:rRNA from 1 species